GAGGAGAAGGGGACGACAGAGGAUGAGAUGGCUGGAUGGCAUCACUGACUCGAUGGACGAUUGGCCUAAGUAACUUUCUUGAACAACUGAAUGCAGUAGAAGUGACAUUUUGAGGCUUCUGAGACUAGAUCAUCACAAGCAGACUUACAGACCCCACUGCUUCACUUUCUUGGAGCACUCACUCUUAGGGUUCUGAGCUGUCUUGUAAGUAAGAGGUCAACCACCCUGAGACUUCCCUGCUGGAAAGAUGCAUAUGAAGAGAGCGUGGAGAGAGCAAUGCUGGCCGUCCCCAAGCUGUUCCAGCCUUCUGAGGCAGAUAUGUGAGUGAAGACAACGCCUUGGAGGACACUGCAGUCCCAGCAAAUAGCUCGUGAAGAACCGAAGAAGCCAGCCAACAGCCUUACCGAGGCCCCAGAUAUAUAUGACCCCUGUGGGGCUGUCUCAGACAUCUCCAGCUGUUCAAACCACCCCAGUCGAGGAUCCAGGCCCUGCCAGAACUAGUGACCCACAAAAUUGUGAGCACAGUAUGUGAUUAUUGUUUCAGAGCAAUAAACAACCAAACACCUGGUAACCUCCUAGCUGGGUGAGCCCUGGUAGACUGUGUCCCUCUGCCCAAGUCUCUCCAAGACAGCCUCUCCAUAGAACUACUUUUGCUUUACAGCCUAUGGGAAGGAGUGACUCCCUGCCAUCAAGCACUGUACUAUCUUUUGUCAUUGGCUUUUAAAAAUCUUGUCCACCUUUCAAAAUAAAGUCCCUUAAUUAAAUUCUCCUGCA